AUUGAACGCUGGCGGCAUGCCUUACACAUGCAAGUCGAACGGCAGCGCGGGGCAACCUGGCGGCGAGUGGCGAACGGGUGAGUAACAUAUCGGAACAUACCCUAGAGUGGGGGAUAACGUAGCGAAAGUUACGCUAAUACCGCAUACGCACUAAGGUGGAAAGUGGGGGAUUCGCAAGAACCUCAUGCUCAUGGAGUGGCCGAUAUCUGAUUAGCUAGUUGGUGAGGUAAAGGCUCACCAAGGCGACGAUCAGUAGCUGGUUUGAGAGAACGACCAGCCACACUGGAACUGAGACACGGUCCAGACUCCUACGGAGGCAGCAGUGGGGAAUUUUGGGACAAUGGGGGCAACCCUGAUCCAGCAAUGCCGCGUGAGUGAAGAAGGCCUCGGUUG
rnacentral:rRNA from 1 species